rnacentral:rRNA from 1 species
GAUGAACGCUGGCGGCGUGCCUAAUACAUGCAAGUCGAGCGAACGGACGAGAAGCUUGCUUCUCUGAUGUUAGCGGCGGACGGGUGAGUAACACGUGGAUAACCUACCUAUAAGACUGGGGUAACUUCGGGAAACCGGAGCUAAUACCGGAUAAUAUUUUGAACCGCAUGGUUCAAAAGUGAAAGACGGUCUUGCUGUCACUUAUAGAUGGAUCCGCGCUGCAUUAGCUAGUUGGUAAGGUAACGGCUUACCAAGGCAACGAUGCAUAGCCGACCUGAGAGGGUGAUCGGCCACACUGGAACUGAGACACGGUCCAGACUCCUACGGGAGGCAGCAGUAGGGAAUCUUCCGCAAUGGGCGAAAGCCUGACGGAGCAACGCCGCGUGAGUGAUGAAGGUCUUCGGAUCGUAAAACUCUGUUAUUAGGGAAGAACAUAUGUGUAAGUAACUGUGCAUAUCUUGACGGUACCUAAUCAGAAAGCCACGGCUAACUACGUG